rnacentral:lncRNA from 1 species
AGGUGGGCACUCCUGAGACUGCAGAGCAGAAGAGACCACCAACACUGCCCACCCCUGCCUACAUCCCUGGCCCAAGAGGAAACUGUAUGCAGCCUCUGGGUUCCCGUAGAGGAGGGUCCAGGAGCAGCAGGUCUGCUGGCUCUGAGACACCUCCAGAACCUGAAGGGACCAACCGGAUAAACAGUUCUCUGCACCCAAAUCCCGUGGGAGGGAGAGCUAAACCUUCAGAGAGGCAGACACGCGUGGGAAACCAGAAGAGACUGCACUCUGUCCACAUUUCUGAUGCCAGAGGAAAACACCAAAUGCCAUCUGGAACCCUGGUGCAUAGAAGCUUCCGGAAAGGGCGUCGCAGAUCUUCCUGGUUGCUGCCGCCAUGGAGAGCUCAUGGGCAGCACCCCACAAGCAAACUUGAGCCUCCUGACCACAGGUAAGACAAACCUCCCUACUCCAAGGGACCUGCCUAGUGAACUCAGGACACAGGCCCACAGGAACAGCUGAAGACCUGUAGAUAGGAAAAACUACACGCCCGAAAGCAGAACACUCUGUUCCCAUAACUGGCUGAAAGAAAACAGGAAAA